GCCGGAGCCGGAGCCGCAGCCGGUCUGGGGCCCAGGGCUGUGGGGCCGCUGGGUGUGGCCGCUCCGUGUGGCUGCGAUGGCGACUCCGUGGGGAGGCCUCCCGCGUCUCGGCUCCUUGCUCAGCCUGUCCUGCCUGGCGCUGGCGGUGCUGCUGCUGGUGUGGACGGCCGACGCCGCCAAGAAUUCGAAGGAUGUUCCGUGUAAAUGUAUUUGUCCUCCCUAUAAAGAUAUUCCUGGACAUAUUUAUAAUAGGAACAUAUCCCAAAAAGAUUGCGAUUGCCUUCAUGUUGUGGAGCUCAUGUCUGUGAGGGAGCCUGACAUAGAAGCAUACUGUCUGCGCUGUGAAUGCAAAUAUGAGGAAAGAAGCUCUGUAACAAUCAAGGUUACCGUUAUAAUUUACCUGUCCAUUUUGGGUCUUCUACUUCUGUACAUGGUGUACCUUACUCUGGUUGAGCCCAUACUGAAGAGACGCCUGUUUGGACACUCACAAUUAAUACAGAGUGAUGAUGAUGUUGGGGAUCACCAGCCAUUUGCAAAUGCCCACGAUGUGCUGGCCCGCUCCCGCACUCAAGCCAAUGUGCUGAACAAGGUAGAGUAUGCCCAGCAGCGCUGGAAGCUUCAAGUUCAAGAGCAGUGGAAGUCGGCCUUUGACCGUCAUGUUGUCCUCAGCUAAUUCAGAAUCAAAUUCAAGGUAACUAGAAAGCAACAAUGCAGGCAACUGGAAAAAACUGACUGAUUUUUCCUGGGUUUUGUUUUAACACCCUGUUGAUUUCACCAACUCUUGCUGGAAAAUUCAAAACCCGAAACAGAAAUGUGCUUGGAAUUUUUUUUCUUGUUAACAUAUUAAUAGAGACAUUUUUUAAAGCACACACCAAGUCGCCAAUAAACCUUAUCCUAUUUGUGACAAAAAAAA